UCUAUGGUUGUAAGAAACAAAAGCCCCACACAUGUCCACAGGUAUCUUGUUCUUCUGGUGAAUGUAGCCGAUUGGAGAAUCGGUGUGCCUGGCGGAUGUCUGGCGGACGCUGCUAUCCUGACUCACAGCCUUUGUAACCAACAGCACCCCGUGUGACUGCGCAGGCCGUCCUCUGACUUCCACAUCCUGUGUGCGACGUGGGUGGCAUUUCCCUUCAGGUUUCCACUGACUACUGGUCCUCUUGGUUAGAUGAAAUCAGGGUGAGAAGGAACCGGUCCAGUGUCACUUCAUUUCCUCUCAGGCGGAUUUAAUAGUUGAACCGUUCCCAAGCUGUAAAGCAGAGCCAACGUAUACUUCAGUCCUGAGCAUACUGGAAGCCUCACCUUCCCCCUGCAGCGGGGCAGAGAGUGGUGACGUCAUCACGGAGCUAGGAUUUGCGUGAGUGAAGACGUCGUCGUGGUUGCACAGCAUCCUGACAUUCCCACCAGUGAGGUGGGACCUGGGGCUUUGGGCCCCUGCUGCCUGUGUUCCCCAUCUUCUGCAGAGGAGGGAAGCAUCCUUUGACACACAUACUCUUGCCAAGAGGUCAUCAGCACCAGGAACCUCAAUUACUCUUACAGCUGCUUUUCAAAUCAGACUCCAAAGUUCACGAUGUGCUUAUUUUAUAUUUUACGUAAUUUGCUUUCAAUCUAUGUUUGUUUCCUUAAUCUCCGAUCUAUCCUAUGAAUCAUUUAUCCCACACCUUUUUCUGCCGCCUCGAUUUUCACGAUUGCUCUCCAUGGGGUUGACUUUUUCUCUAUCCACUAUAUUUCCUGGAAAGUGUCCCAUUAGAUCCAGAAUCUUGAUACUUAAAAUAAAAAAAAAAUACUUCAAAA